rnacentral:rRNA from 1 species
ACGGAAGGCAGCAGUGGGGGAUAUUGCGCAAUGGAGGAAACUCUGAUGCAGCAACGCCGCGUGAAGGAAGAAGGCCUUCGGGUUGUAAACUUCUGUCCUUGGUGACGAUAAUGACGGUAGCCAAAGAGGAAGCCACGGCUAACUACGUGCCAGCAGCCGCGGUAAUACGUAGGUGGCAAGCGUUGUCCGGAAUUGCUGGGUGUAAAGGGUGCGUAGGCGGCUCAUAAAGUCAGAUGUGAAAUACCGAGGCUCAACCUCGGAGCUGCAUUUGAAACUUAUGGGCUUGAGUGAAGUAGAGGUAAGCGGAAUUCCUAGUGUAGCGGUGAAAUGCGUAGAUAUUAGGAGGAACACCAGUGGCGAAGGCGGCUUACUGGGCUUUAACUGACGCUGAGGCUCGAAAGCGUGGGGAGCAAACAGGAUUAGAUACCCUGGUA